rnacentral:misc_RNA from 1 species
CGAUCCGCGUCGGUCGUGCGAGGGUGGUAUGGUUCCCCCAGAGGCCGGUUCUUGUGCUGCCUACCCCUUCAGGGGAAUCGGGCCACUCGAUGUAAGCCUCCAUCCGGCGCCUUCCAACGGGCGCAGGAGGACAACAGGGCACCCCCCGCGUUCCACCGAGCCUCCUCGGUCGCGUGGCCCGCGGGGACGUGCGACGCUCUCGGACCCAGCGAACGCCGUGGGCGAGGACUCACGUCCCAGUCCCGAAAAGAAGCUCCGAUAUAAUGCAAGACGGCCGCUCCCGCCCCCCCGGGGGCGAGGCGCGGCGUCGCAGAGGAAUGCUACCUGGUUGAUC